rnacentral:misc_RNA from 1 species
GAUGAAGAACGCAGCGAAAUGCGAUAAGUAAUGUGAAUUGCAGAAUUCAGUGAAUCAUCGAAUCUUUGAACGCACAUUGCGCCCGCUAGUAUUCUGGCGGGCAUGCCUGUCCGAGCGUCAUUUCAACCCUCAAGCCCCCGGGCUUGGUGUUGGGGAUCGGCGAGCCUCCGCGCCCGCCGUCCCCUAAAUCUAGUGGCGGUCUCGCUGUAGCUUCCUCUGCGUAGUAGCACACCUCGCACUGGGAAACAGCGCGGCCACGCCGUUAAACCCCCAACUUCUGAACGUUUGACCUCGGAUCAGAUAGGAAUACCCGCUGAACUUAAGCAUAUCAAUAAGCGGAGGA